CCUACGGGCGGCAGCAGUGGGGAAUUUUGCGCAAUGCUCGUAAGAGUGACGCAGCGACGCCGCGUGAAUGACGAAGGCCUUCGGGUCGUAAAGUUCUUUCGACAGGGAAGAAAAUGCCUAUAAGUAACUGUGUAUGUAUUGACGGUACCUGUAUAAGCAGCCCCGGCUAACUCCGUGCCAGCAGCCGCGGUAAUACGGAGGAUGCGAGCGUUAUCCGGAUUUAUUGGGUUUAAAGGGGGCGCAGGCGGAGGCACAAGUCAGCGGUAAAAUCGCGGGGCUCAACCCCGCUCCGCCGUUGAAACUGUGUCCCUUGAGUGCGCGAAGGGUAGGCGGAAUGCGUGGUGUAGCGGUGAAAUGCAUAGAUAUCACGCAGAACUCCGAUCGCGAAGGCAGCCUACCGGCGCGCAACUGACGCUCAUGCACGAAAGCGUGGGUAUCGAACAGGAUUAGAUACCCUUGUAGUC
rnacentral:rRNA from 1 species